rnacentral:rRNA from 1 species
GACGAACGCUGGCGGCGUGCUUAACACAUGCAAGUCGAACGGAAAGGCCCUGCUUUUGUGGGGUGCUCGAGUGGCGAACGGGUGAGUAACACGUGAGUAACCUGCCCUUGACUUUGGGAUAACUUCAGGAAACUGGGGCUAAUACCGGAUAGGAGCUCCUGCUGCAUGGUGGGGGUUGGAAAGUUUCGGCGGUUGGGGAUGGACUCGCGGCUUAUCAGCUUGUUGGUGGGGUAGUGGCUUACCAAGGCUUUGACGGGUAGCCGGCCUGAGAGGGUGACCGGCCACAUUGGGACUGAGAUACGGCCCAGACUCCUACGGGAGGCAGCAGUGGGGAAUAUUGCACAAUGGGCGGAAGCCUGAUGCAGCAACGCCGCGUGCGGGAUGACGGCCUUCGGGUUGUAAACCGCUUUCGCCUGUGACGAAGCGUGAGUGACGGUAAUGGGUAAAGAAGCACCGGCUAACUACGUGCCAGCAGCCGCGGUGAUACGUAGGGUGCGAGCGUUGUCCGGAUUUAUUGGGCGUAAAGGGCUCGUAGGUGGUUGAUCGCGUCGGAAGUGUAAUCUUGGGGCUUAACCCUGAGCGUGCUUUCGAUACGGGUUGACUUGAGGAAGGUAGGGGAGAAUGGAAUCCCUGGUGGAGCGGUGGAAUGCGCAGAUAUCAGGAGGAACACCAGUGGCGAAGGCGGUUCUCUGGGCCUUUCCUGACGCUGAGGAGCGAAAGCGUGGGGAGCGAACAGGCUUAGAUACCCUGGUAGUCCACGCUGUAAACGGUGGGUACUAGGUGUGGGGUCCAUUCCACGGGUUCCGUGCCGUAGCUAACGCUUUAAGUACCCCGCCUGGGGAGUACGGCCGCGAGGCUAAAACUCAAAGGAAUUGACGGGGCCCCGCACAAGCGGCGGAGCAUGCGGAUUAAUUCGAUGCAACGCGUAGAACCUUACCUGGGUUUGACAUGGAUCGGGAGUGCUCAGAGAUGGGUGUGCCUCUUUUGGGGUCGGUUCACAGGUGGUGCAUGCCUGUCGUCAGCUCGUGUCGUGAGAUGUUGGGUUAAGUCCCGCAACGAGCGCAACCCUUGUUCACUGUUGCCAGCACGUUAUGGUGGGGACUCAGUGGAGACCGCCGGGGUCAACUCGGAGGAAGGUGGGGAUGACGUCAAGUCAUCAUGCCCCUUAUGUCCAGGGCUUCACGCAUGCUACAAUGGCUGGUACAGAGAGUGGCGAGCCUGUGAGGGUGAGCGAAUCUCGGAAAGCCGGUCUCAGUUCGGAUUGGGGUCUGCAACUCGACCUCAUGAAGUCGGAGUCGCUAGUAAUCGCAGAUCAGCAACGCUGCGGUGAAUAAGUUCCCGGG